CCUCGCAGGUCAGAGACACGAGGACCAGAGACGGCUGCUGUCGACCCGUCACCAUGUGACCGUCGUCUGUCACCACCAGCCAGUGUCUGCAAAGCAACACAACACAACACAACUGAGGCAGGACACACUGAGCGAUCACAAGUGAGACACGGUUACAGGUUCCGGUCCAUGCGGGACCGAGGAGCCGCCGGACUCGGGACAUCGAGUCUCACUCACCGGUCCUGCAUGUGUCCGAACUUCAGCCCGAUCGGGAGACACUCGGCGAGGGACAGAGACACCGCUCUGCCGGACUUCAGCGGGUGGAGCAGCAGCUGGGACACGACGCCCACACGAACCAGCUCCUCGGUCCGUCUCAGGAACCUGUACCCGAGCCCGAGGCCCAGAGCCGCGGCUCCGACCCCGAGCACCAGAGCCGCGCUUCGAUCCUGGACCAGAUACUUCACGUCCAUGUUUGGUGUCCCUGCGACUUCCGGAGGAAAGACGGAAGUGGAGGAGUGCCCCGAGGGUCCACGUGGGGGUUAGGGUAAAUUAAUAAUACACACUAGUACAAGUACUGCAAGUUAAGAAAACACACGCAAAUAGAAAACACACUUGGAACUUAUUGAAACACACGCAAAUUAAGAAAUCACACGCAAAUAAAGAAAACACACGCAAAUAAAGAAAACACACGCAAAUAGAAAAUAUACUGCAAAUUAAGAAAACACACAAAAAUACAAAAAAUAAAGCAAAUUAAGAAAACACACGCAAAUGCAAAAAAAUACAGCAAAUAAAGAAAACACACGCAAAUAGAGAACACACAUGCAAGUUAUGAAAACCCAGGCAACUAAAGAAAAUACAUGCAAAUAGAAAACACACGUGCAAAUUAUGAAAACAUCUAAAUAGAAAAGAUACAGCAAAUUAUGAAAACACACGCAAAUAAAGAAAACGCAAGAGCAAAUUCAGCAAACACAGGCAAAUAGAAAAAAACACGUGCAAACUAAGUAAACAACUUCAUCAAUUUGACGACAGAGGAGUUUUUUAAAAAGUCCCAACAAACCAGUGAUGAACCUGUAACUCACAGCUUUAUGAAGUUCCAUCCCCACUGACGAGCAACAGACCUCAGUAACUUCAUGAAACUUUGAACUACAGACGUGUUCAUCACUUUCUUGGCACCACUGACCAGAGUCUGGCUCCAAGUGAUCGGCACAAGAUGGCAGCUUCCAUAUCCAGGAUGUUUUGGCUUCGUUUCUGGACAGUGGGAGGAAGUGGAGACAUGUCGUCCAUCUUUAUUUCCAGUCCGAGAGAAUUAGAGUUAAACAUCAUCACAACUGGAAGUAAAUCCCUUUCAUAUGGAAUUGAAUAUGUUCGAGGCUCUUCUCAUGUUCUCCAAACUUUUAGGGAAUACAUUUGCUCUUUCUUUUAUAUAUGAACUUAACAGAUGGUUAAUUGACUAUGUCCAAUUCAGUAAAAGGACCAAUAAAAAGACACAAGUGCACUUUCACCAGCGUGUGACUGACGCCUCCAGUUUCCACCUGCCAAGACUUUGAGACCUCCAGUGACGUAAAGCCACAGCCGACCUUCUCAGUGGAACUAUUUCUGUCUUUGACAUAGAUACUCAGGUCUGUGGCCGAAGUAGAAAACAGCAGAUGCUCCGGCCACAGGGGGUCAAAACAGGGAUUUGUCGAAUGGAUCCUCCUUCUGUUGCCUCUCUGUGCACAUGUGAUGGCUGAAGGCAGAUUCUCAGGCGCAGAGCCAGGCCGUACAAACUGCCUGAUGAUGUGCUGGCAAGGGAAUCUUUCAUAACGAGCUAAUCUCUCUGUGCUCUCUGCAAACGAGGCUUUGAUGUUGUGAUUCUGCUCUAAGUGCACACAACAAGUUAAUUUAAUUUAUUUUAAGGCACAGAUGAUCCGAUUUGUUUCGGAUUCUUUGAAGCUCUUCAUCUCCCGCAUCGCUGCAGCUUCACUUUCAUUAACAGACGUAACUCGGAGUGGUUCUUAAACUAAGUGUCAGUUUCAAGGAGGAUUUAUUGCAGGACAAGAAGGACAGCCUCAAAAAGUUCCUCUUUAUUAUAUUGGUCCUUGAUGUCUGAAAGGUUUUCUAGAAGAUUUCCAAGAAAUAACUUAAAAGAGAAGCUCCCAGAGUUAAUCACCAUUAUUCACAAUUCAAUUAAUACAAUAAAUGUUAAUUAUGUAGUUAUAUAAAUGUCCAUUUGCCUGAAACAUACUUAUCUGAAUAAGAAACAAUCUGGAGUUAAUUAGGUGGACGUGCAUCAACUACAAUUUCUCUAUCCUUUCAGACUAAGUGCAUCAAUGUUUGAAUAUCAUUUAGAUUUUAUGAACCCGCAAAUAAGAGCCUGAUCUGAAUCAUCACCUCUGGCAGCCUCAUGAAAGAUCUCCUCUGUGAAGUCAAGUGUUUCUGUGGCUCUGUCCUCUUCUCUCUCGGCUGCACCACAGGACGAGGAGAUGCACGUAAACAAAUGUACAUCCUGCCACACGCCACGUACGUGUCCUCGUGACUGACCGGCUGUAGGUCGCCCGGAACUGGACUGGAGUCAGAAUUCCCAAAGGGCAACCAUCUGCACCGACCGGUCGUCUCCAUACAUUCAGCAGGGACUUCACACGUUGAUAACCAGCAUGGAGGAGUGUUCCAUGAAGUGCCGGUCUCAGAUUCUCAGAAAACAAAGGAGAUCAUGUUGUCGUCACUCAGGUGGGAUCUGAACCCACAGGAGAAAUACAACAAACGAGGGAAAAAGAAAAUCCCCCUGAAGACGUUCAGAAUAUCAACAAUCUGUGAUGUUCCAUUUAUUUCCUCUACCUAUGUUUUCAUUGAUGUUUGUUUAUUGAACCUUAUUUUUCCACUUUCUUUUACAUUUUUGUGAAAUAAUCAUUUCGGAGGGAAAUAUUAUGAAACACUUUCUGUAAUAUUCAAACAAUUAAAUCUGUCACAAUUUUAUUAUUGAUACUUCAAGUAUAUUUAGCCGUUUCCCUGUAUUAUUACUAAAGUAACGAUUUUGAGUGCCGGACUUUUAUUUGUAGUGUGGACUGGUGGCAGAAACUUGGACUAUGGGCAGAAAAGGUCUCUGGUUCGACUCCACCGAGAAACAACAAAAAGACGAACCUGGAUUGAUCUGUCCAAAAAUCCAAGAGGAUUCUCCCUACCCUGUCUAGUGCCCCUGAGCAAGGCACCUUACUACCCCAACAUCUGCUCCCCGGGCACCGUACAUGGUCGCUCACUGCUCUAUGUGUCCUUCACCAGAUGGAUUAAAAGCAGAGGUUAAAUUUCCCUACCUGCAUGAGUGUGCCUGUGCAUGUGUUUGGGACAUAUAAAUUAAUCUUAAUCUUAA